CUGACCGUAAACGAUGCCAACUAGUGAUCCGCCGGCGGAUAUUUCGCCCUGGUGGGGAGCUUCCCGGAAACGAAAGUCUUCCGGUUCCGGGGGAAGUAUGGUUGCAAAGCUGAAACUUAAAGGAAUUGACGGAAGGGCACCACCAGGAGUGGAGCCUGCGGCUUAAUUUGACUCAACACGGGGAAACUCACCCGGCCCGGACACCGUGAGGAUUGACAGAUUGAAAGCUCUUUCUUGAUUCGGUGGUUGGUGGUGCAUGGCCGUUCUUAGUUCGUGGAGCGAUUUGUCUGGUUUAUUCCGAUAACGAGCGAGACUCUAGCUUACUAAAUAGUCUGGUCUUUAUUACUGAGGCCUGACUUCUUAGAGGGAUUUUCGGUGUUCAGCCGCACGAGAUUGAGCAAUAACAGGUCUGUGAUGCCCUUAGAUGUCCGGGGCUGCACGCGCGCUACACUGGCGAAAUCAGCGUGCUUUUCCUAUCUCGAAAGAGAUUGGUAAACCGAUGAAAAUUUGCCGUGAUUGGGAUCCGGAAAUUGCAAUUAUUUUCCGUGAACGAGGAAUUCCAAGUAAGUGCGAGUCAUCAACUCGCGUUG
rnacentral:rRNA from 1 species